CUGCCUAUAUAAAGCGCAGCACCCCACGGUGCACGGGGGCUUUUUUUCAGACUUCAGAGACGGAGGAAACGCCUGGCGAGACGAACAGAUCAAGCACCGGCGCUCGGUCGGACGAAGCGAUCACACGUGCGGAGGCGUACAGGUUCAUCAAACUCCAUCAACAUCAAUUUCAUGGCUUCAGGUAACGACUACGGUGACCAUGAUGGCCAUCGCGCGCCGCCGUCGAUGCAGGUACAAGAGGAUCGUCGUGUUAGGACACCCGCCCGACGCGGAGCGCCGUUCUCAUCGACAACUCGCCGACGUCCGUCCGAGAGCCACCAUGCGCGAUGGUGCGGACGUGGGCGACGUCGCAGAGCACUACCUUCAGACCGACGAGGCUCGGCGACAAGGUGGGCGUGGCCACGGCUAAGGCCACGCUCAACGGCGCGUGUACUGUCUUGUACACGGGUUCUGCCGGCACCCACACCAUCACCCCACCCAUACAUGCAUAGGUGACGUGAAGCGAAGACAUGAAGACGGCCACAACAGCUUAAUCGGAGGUUUCUCGCGGGUCUAGCCCUGCGGGAGUAAUUAAGCAGGAGCCUUUCGAGGCCCCGUGAACCAGGAGAUGACCACAAUCGCCUUGUCAAUCAAGCCGUGCAAGCAGGCCACGGAGCGUACGAGGAAUUGUAUUUUGUAAUCUCAAACAGAUUAAUAAAAUAUACGAUUCCUCCCAUUU